AACGAACGUUGGCGGCGUGGAUUAGGCAUGCAAGUUGAGCGUACCCAGCAAUGGGGAGCAGCGUAAGGGGCAGUAAGGCGUGGGUACCUACACGAGGUUCGGGCAUAGACUGUAGAAAUACAGGGUAAUUCCCGAUGAUGUCGUAAGACCAAAGCUCCGGCGACCUCGGAGGGGCCCAUGUGAUAUUAGCUAGUUGGUGGGGUAACGGCCCACCAAGGCGAAGAUGUCUAGGGGGUGUGAAAGCACGACCCGCGCCACUGGCACUGAGACACUGGCCAGACACCUACGGGUGGCUGCAGUCGAGGAUCUUCGGCAAUGGGCGCAAGCCUGACCGAGCGACGCCGCGUGUGCGAUGAAGGCCUUCGGGUUGUAAAGCACUGUCGAGGGGGAGAAAAGCGAAAGCUUGAUCUAUCCCUGGAGGAAGCACGGGCUAAGUUCGUGCCAGCCGCCGCGGUAAGAC
rnacentral:rRNA from 1 species